rnacentral:rRNA from 1 species
UACGUAGGGGGCGAGCGUUGUCCGGAUUUACUGGGCGUAAAGCGCGUGUAGGCGGUCCCUUAAGUCCGGGGUGAAAGGCGGAGGCUCAACCUCCGAGCUGCGCCGGAAACUGGGGGUCUUGAAUGUCGGAGAGGGAAGUGGAAUUCCUGGUGUAGCGGUGAAAUGCGUAGAGAUCAGGAGGAACACCAGUGGCGAAGGCGGCUUCCUGGCCGAACAUUGACGCUGAGACGCGAAAGCGCGGGGAGCGAACGGG